rnacentral:tRNA from 1 species
GUCUCUGUGGCGCAAUCGGUUAGCGCGUUCGGCUGUUGACUGAAAGGUUGGUGGUUCAAGACCACCCAGGGACG